AAGCUAUCGCUUUUGGAUGGACCCGCGGCGUAUUAGCUAGUUGGUGAGGUAACGGCUCACCAAGGCAAUGAUACGUAGCCGAACUGAGAGGUUGAUCGGCCACAUUGGGACUGAGACACGGCCCAAACUCCUACGGGAGGCAGCAGUAGGGAAUCUUCCACAAUGGACGCAAGUCUGAUGGAGCAACGCCGCGUGAGUGAAGAAGGCUUUCGGGUCGUAAAACUCUGUUGUUGGAGAAGAAUGGUCGGCAGAGUAACUGUUGUCGGCGUGACGGUAUCCAACCAGAAAGCCACGGCUAACUACGUGCCAGCAGCCGCGGUAAUACGUAGGUGGCAAGCGUUAUCCGGAUUUAUUGGGCGUAAAGCGAGCGCAGGCGGUUUUUUAAGUCUGAUGUGAAAGCCCUCGGCUUAACCGAGGAAGUGCAUCGGAAACUGGGAAACUUGAGUGCAGAAGAGGACAGUGGAACUCCAUGUGUAGCGGUGAAAUGCGUAGAUAUAUGGAAGAACACCAGUGGCGAAGGCGGCUGUCUGGUCUGUAACUGACGCUGAGGCUCGAAAGCAUGGGUAGCGAACAGGAUUAGAUACCCUGGUAGUCCAUGCCGUAAACGAUGAAUGCUAGGUGUUGGAGGGUUUCCGCCCUUCAGUGCCGCAGCUAACGCAUUAAGCAUUCCGCCUGGGGAGUACGACCGCAAGGUUGAAACUCAAAGGAAUUGACGGGGGCCCGCACAAGCGGUGGAGCAUGUGGUUUAAUUCGAAGCAACGCGAAGAACCUUACCAGGUCUUGACAUCUUUUGAUCACCUGAGAGAUCAGGUUUCCCCUUCGGGGGCAAAAUGACAGGUGGUGCAUGGUUGUCGUCAGCUCGUGUCGUGAGAUGUUGGGUUAAGUCCCGCAACGAGCGCAACCCUUAUGACUAGUUGCCAGCAUUUAGUUGGGCACUCUAGUAAGACUGCCGGUGACAAACCGGAGGAAGGUGGGGAUGACGUCAAAUCAUCAUGCCCCUUAUGACCUGGGCUACACACGUGCUACAAUGGAUGGUACAACGAGUUGCGAGACCGCGAGGUCAAGCUAAUCUCUUAAAGCCAUUCUCAGUUCGGACUGUAGGCUGCAACUCGCCUACACGAAGUCGGAAUCGCUAGUAAUCGCGGAUCAGCACGCCGCGGUGAAUACGUUCCCGGGCCUUGUACACACCGCCCGUCACACCAUGAGAGUUUGUAACACCCGAAGCCGGUGGCGUAACCCUUUUAGGGAGCGAGCCGUCUAAGGUGGGACAAAUGAUUAGGGUGAAGUCGUAACAAGGUAGCCGUAGGAGAACCUGCGGCUGGAUCACCUCCUUU
rnacentral:rRNA from 1 species